rnacentral:rRNA from 1 species
AUUGAACGCUGGCGGCAGGCCUAACACAUGCAAGUCGAGCGAACGGCGGACGGGUGAGUAAUGUAUGGGGACUGCCCGAUAGAGGGUGAUAACUACUGGAAACGGUAUCUAAUACCGCAUACUAUCGGAUCACCCAUAUGGGAUUAGCUAGUAGGUUAGGUAAUGGCUCACCUAGGCGACGAUCCCUAGCUGUUCUGAGAGGAUGUGCAGCAACACUGUGAUGGGGAAACGGCCCAGACCCCUAGGGAGGCAGCAGGGGGGAAUAUUGCACAUUGGGCGCAAGCCUGAUGCAGCCAUGCCGAGUGUAUGAAGAAGGCCCUGGGGUUGAAAGGUACUUUCAGUCGGGAGGCGUACCGACAGAAGAAGCACCGGCUAACUCCGUGCCAGCAGCCGCGGUAAUUC